CCUACGGGUGGCAGCAGUGAGGAAUAUUGGUCAAUGGACGAGAGUCUGAACCAGCCAAGUAGCGUGAAGGAUGACUGCCCUAUGGGUUGUAAACUUCUUUUAUAUGGGAAUAAAACAGGGUACGCAUACCCUCUUGUAUGUACCCUAUGAAUAAGGCUCGGCUAACUCCGUGCCAGCAGCCGCGGUAAUACGGAGGGUCCGAGCGUUAUCCGGAUUUAUUGGGUUUAAAGGGUGCGUAGGUGGGUUGUUAAGUCAGUUGUGAAAGUUUGGGGCUCAACCGUAAAAUUGCAGUUGAAACUGGCAGUCUGGAGUACAGUAGAGGUAGGCGGAAUGCGUGGUGUAGCGGUGAAAUGCUUAGAUA
rnacentral:rRNA from 1 species